rnacentral:rRNA from 1 species
GACGAACGCUGGCGGCGUGCUUAACACAUGCAAGUCGGGCGGUAAGGCCCUUUCGGGGGUACGACGAGCGGCGAACGGGUGAGUAACACGUGGGUGACCUGCCCUCAGCUCUGGGAUAAGCCUGGGAAACCGGGUCUAAUACCGGAUAUGACUCCAUGACGCAUGUUGUGGGGUGGAAAGCCUUGUGCGGCUGAGGAUGGGCCCGCGGCCUAUCAGCUUGUUGGUGGGGUGAUGGCCACCAAGGCGACGACGGUAGCCGGCCUGAGAGGGCGACCGGCCACACUGGGACUGAGACACGACCCAGACUCCUACGGGAGGCAGCAGUGGGGAAUCUUGCGCAAUGGGCGAAAGCCUGACGCAGCGACGCCGCGUGAGGGAUGAC